rnacentral:rRNA from 1 species
UACGAAGGGGGCUAGCGUUGCUCGGAAUCACUGGGCGUAAAGGGGGCGUAGGCGGGUCUUUAAGUCAGGGGUGAAAUCCUGGAGCUCAGCUCCAGAACUGCCUUUGAUACUGAAGAUCUUGAGUUCGGGAGAGGUGAGUGGAACUGCGAGUGUAGAGGUGAAAUUCGUAGAUAUUCGCAAGAACACCAGUGGCGAAGGCGGCUCACUGGCCCGGUACUGACGCUGAGGUGCGAAAGCGUGGGGAGCAAACAGG